rnacentral:lncRNA from 1 species
UCAAAUAUUUAUCAUGAAUAACUUGAACAUAAAGGCACAAUUAUUGGAUCCCAACAAAUGCACCACACAAAAUUAUUACAUCAUAUGGAUCAAAGCAAAGAUGCGAUGAUCAUUGUAUUGAAGAUCAAGAGAGAGGGAGAGAUAUUGUCAUCUAGGUACUAGCUAUGGACCCGUAGGUCUACGGUGAAGUACUCACACAUGAUCAUGAGAGCAGCAAGGUUGAUGAAGAGGCCC